AGACCUGAGGGCUGAGCCAGUCUAGUGAACCCACCUGUUGGCACUGUCAGGGUUAAGGUCAGGGGUCAGGGACUGAGCCAGUCUAGUGAACCCACCUGUUGGCACUGUCAGGGUUAAGGUCAGGGGUCAGGGACCUGAGGGCUGAGCCAGUCUAGUGAACCCACCUGUUGGCACUGUCAGGGUUAAGGUCAGGGACCUGAGGGCUGAGCCAGUCUAGUGAACCCACCUGUUGGCACUGUCAGGGUUAAGGUCAGGGACCUGAGGGCUGAGCCAG